rnacentral:rRNA from 1 species
GAUGAACGCUGCCAGAAUGCUUAACACAUCAGCCAUUGAUUGGUGGCGGACGGGUGAGUAACGCGUACAGAACUUACCUCACUGUUAGGGACAACAUUUGGAAACGAAUGCUAAUACUUAAUACUGUGAGAGAGCUUUGCGUCCCAUUAGCUAGUUGGAGAGGUAACGGCUCACCAAGGCGAUGAUGGGUAGCCGGCCUGCGAGGGUGGUCGGCACCAAGGGGAAUAAGACGAGGCAGUUACUCCUACGGGAGGCAGGAGUGGGGAAUAAUGGACAAAGGACCAAAGUCUGAUCCAGCAAAUCAGUGUGAAAAAUGGAGUUUUGGGAAUGAAAAGUGCUUUAAGUUGGGAAACGGUACCAAAAGAAGAAGGAACGGCUAAAUACGUGCCAGCAGCCGCGGUAAUUC